rnacentral:rRNA from 1 species
CAGCAGCCGCGGUAAUACAGAGGGUGCGAGCGUUAAUCGGAUUUACUGGGCGUAAAGCGUGCGUAGGCGGCUUCUUAAGUCGGAUGUGAAAUCCCUGAGCUUAACUUAGGAAUUGCAUUCGAUACUGGGAAGCUAGAGUAUGGGAGAGGAUGGUAUAAUUCCAUGUGUAGCGGUGAAAUGCGUAGAGAUCUGGAGGAAUACCGAUGGCGAAGGCAGCCAUCUGGCCUAAUACUGACGCUGAGGUACGAAAGCAUGGGGAGCAAACAGGAUUAGAUACCCCGGUAGUCCCUGUCUCUUAUAC